rnacentral:rRNA from 1 species
AGUGAACGCUGGCGGUAGGCCUAACACAUGCAAGUCGAACGGCAGCACAGUAAGAGCUUGCUCUUACGGGUGGCGAGUGGCGGACGGGUGAGGAAUACGUCGGAAUCUACUUUUUCGUGGGGGAUAACGUAGGGAAACUUACGCUAAUACCGCAUACGACCUACGGGUGAAAGCAGGGGAUCUUCGGACCUUGCGCGAUUGAAUGAGCCGAUGUCGGAUUAGCUAGUUGGCGGGGUAAAGGCCCACCAAGGCGACGAUCCGUAGCUGGUCUGAGAGGAUGAUCAGCCACACUGGAACUGAGACACGGUCCAGACUCCUACGGGAGGCAGCAGUGGGGAAUAUUGGACAAUGGGCGCAAGCCUGAUCCAGCCAUACCGCGUGGGUGAAGAAGGCCUUCGGGUUGUAAAGCCCUUUUGCUGGGAAAGAAAAGCAGCAGGUUAAUACCCCGCUGUUCUGACGGUACCCAAAGAAUAAGCACCGGCUAACUUCGUG